rnacentral:rRNA from 1 species
AACGAACGCUGGCGGCAUGCCUAACACAUGCAAGUCGAACGAGACCUUCGGGUCUAGUGGCGCACGGGUGCGUAACGCGUGGGAACCUGCCUUUAGGUUCGGAAUAACUCAGAGAAAUUUGAGCUAAUACCGGAUGAUGUCUUCGGACCAAAGAUUUAUCGCCUUUAGAUGGGCCCGCGUUGGAUUAGCUAGUUGGUGGGGUAAAGGCCUACCAAGGCGACGAUCCAUAGCUGGUCUGAGAGGAUGAUCAGCCACACUGGGACUGAGACACGGCCCAGACUCCUACGGGAGGCAGCAGUGGGGAAUAUUGGACAAUGGGCGAAAGCCUGAUCCAGCAAUGCCGCGUGAGUGAUGAAGGCCUUAGGGUUGUAAAGCUCUUUUACCCGAGAUGAUAAUGACAGUAUCGGGAGAAUAAGCUCCGGCUAACUCCGUA